UUCACAACCAAUCGCUUAAAUAAACCAACGGAGUUACAAACGAAGGCCUACAACCAAAAGUCUACAAAAGACCGGCUCUUAAAAAUGAACUGUCCUACGACCUACAAGUCGGACACGCUCUCCAAUCCUUAUGACUUCACCUCUGCAACUCCUCAAGGCCAACCAAAGCUAUCUGGCCGCUCCGUCCACCAGGGACCUGAAAUUUU
rnacentral:lncRNA from 1 species